UCUGAUCUCCGAUUCACUCAUUUCCUACGAUCACAUCGAUUUUCGAUUUCACCUGUUCGAUCGUUUUCAAAUCGUGCCGUCAUGGAAAGAGAGAGAGAGAUCGGUGGAGUUUGUUCAAUCCGCACUAAUCGCAGGACGGGAAAUUCAAUUUCAAAUGCACCGACAGUGAGCGCGUUGAAGAUGAAGCGCUUUUCGCAAUCUGCGUCGACUUCGCUUCGCCAUAUGAGUUCUUGAAUCCGGAGGGUAGUUUUAUUUCUAACAGAGCGGUCGGCAGUCACCAUCGCGUUCUUCUGCGCUCGAGGACGGAUUCUCAAACAAAAUAUCACAUCGAUAUCGCGUAAUCAAUUGCGAUCUCAUUUGCUGGCGCAAGAACGACAUUGACAUUUUUGGCCACACAACGAGUGAGGCCUUCAAUUGCUUUUAUUCGGUUGUCGGUUGUAGCGCAGUCGCAGGAGCAGUCAUAAAGUUGCUGCCCUUACAUCAAUACCCCACCCUGAGCAUAAGAUUCUUGAUGCUGCCAGCCACUGCGUGGGGGAUGGUUUUUUCUUCUGCUGGUUCGGGUUUCUAUCUCUGGCAUAUAUUAUAUAUGGUCGACGAGAUGCAGGCAAAUGGCGAACGCAAACGCAG